UUUCCCAUUAUUGUAUCUUCCCGUCGUCGUGCAGAAGAACAGUGAAACACGGUUUCAAAUUUCAAAAUAAAACCCAGUUAUCUUAAAAUAAUAUUUAAUUAAAAUGGGUAAAUAAUUGGUCGAUACUCAUUUUUACUAGCCUCGCUAAGUAUCCUUGGGAGUCCGAGAAGCGUUGUUUAGGAAAAGGAAAUUUGUGUAAGGGGCUUUGAAUCUUCCGAUUAUUGAUCAAUCGUCGCUUGUGUGAUUCUCAUAUAAUGGCUGGAUCAUCAUGGCUAGUAGAUGGUCAUAGAUUUGCAACAAAAAUCAAGAGUGCAUCUGAUCCUGAAAAGGUGAUAUGGGAGA
rnacentral:misc_RNA from 1 species